AGUCAAUUGAACCGGCCGAUUCAAAAUCCUGUGAUCCGGUUCAAAGACCGAUUUUGGUAUUAAAACAUUGGCCCAUACCUAUCAGCCCAAUAGUUUGGGACAAUCUUGCAUACUUGCUUUUUUGUUCGUAAAAAAAAAUCCCUAACAAAUCAAUUCAAUUAUCUAAAAGAAUGAUAAUAACAACGUCUAAAACCCUGCUUUUAAAUCCGUUAAUUCAGUUGAAAACCCCUCUCACUGUCAAAUUUCGCCCCAAAAUCGCAUCAAUCUCCGCUCGUCUGGACAAUUCCCAGCAACAACUGAAUCUCUCUGUUCUUAGGUUCACUCUGGGUAUACCUGGAUUGAACGAAUCCUAUUUACCCAGAUGGAUUGGAUACGGGUUCGGCUCCCUUCUUGUAUUGAACCACUUGCUUGGAUCCGACUCCGUCACCGCUGCGCAGCUGAGAACGGAGGCUUUAGGUAUUUCAUUGGCUGCAUUUUCCGUUAUACUUCCUUACCUAGGUAAAUUUCUCAAGGGUGCAACUCGAAUGGAUCAAAUGACUCUGCCAGAAGGUGCUGAGCAAAUCUUUGUUAUGUCACAAAAUGUGUCGGUUGCUCAGAAGGAGAAUUUGGCUUGGGCAACAUAUGUUUUAUUACGAAAUACCAACACCACCGCUGUGUUGAUAUUAAUGCGAGGUGAAUUAUGCAUACGCGGAUAUUGGAAUGUACCAGAUGGUGUAUUAAAAGAUAAUAUACUUGAUUGGUUUAAAAAUAAUAUAGAAGAAACUGGUCUCUGUGAUUUGACAGACACCCUCUAUUUCCCUCAAACCGCAGAUGCUGAUUUCUGGAAGAUACUUCCUCAGGGGACCCGUUCUGUCUUGGUACAACCAGUGCUACUAGAUCCAAACCUAAGCACCAACAUUGAAGGUUUUGUGCUGUUGGCUUCAGGCAUGAAAUAUGCAUAUAGUGAGAAAGAUAGAGCCUGGAUAAGGGCAGUUUCAAACAAACUUAGAAACUUCAAGGGAGUAAGAUGAAUCUAAGCAUAUGAGAAAAUUGGUGUGACAUCUAUAUAUAGUACCUUGACUAAACUGCUUUCAUGCCUCAAUUUUGAAGAUGAAAACAAUUCUCCACUGGAUUUGCCAAAGAUCUAAGUUAUACACCAAGGAACUUGAAGAAUAAUGGGAUUCUACAGAAAUUUCUUCAGGCCAUACACCAGAUGCUGCCAAAAUAGCAAAGACUACAUGAUGCUCCUGAUUCGACAAUUUCUACAUUGUUGUAGUGGAAGGAAGCUGAAAUGGCAGCUUGCUGGAGGAGAAUGGAUCCUAUGGACAGAGUUAGUGCAACUAGGCAACCUUGAAAUAUUUCAUUAGAAUUGCAACAAGUUGAUGGAGAUAUAACGGUGUAACAACAAUAGGCACAACUGUUCUAAGUAUAGUACUAUGAAGUUUUUUGGAAAUUAAGUAGACAUUGAAAUAUAUCUCAUCCUGUCCUCACCAUUCUGGCUUUCUCGCAAAAUGCAGACAAUCCUUUUAUUGUGUCAAGCUUAAUUCGAUGUACAUAAACCACACUUUUCAGAUCAAAUGCUGUUGCCUAUAAGAAGUAGAAAACAUAAACUAUUAUCAGUUAUUCAAGUAUAACUUUUAGAACUGAAUCUGCAAAAGUAAGUUGAUCAAAGAAUAUAGUAGUAUUUAGAUGCUGAACCUGUUUCACGUUGCCAUAAACUGCUGAAGGCUCUGUAAAAUCAACAAUAUCACCUGUCUUUUUUCAAUGAGAUCAAAUGUGUGUUAUAUCAAAUGAGAAAGAUAUUGGAAUCAGUAUGUUACCUAAGAUUACCUAAAACCAUAGUGAGAUCAUUCAUUAUGGGAAUUUCUAGAGGCUCUUCCAUAUCGUACACCCAAUUUAGAAAAUGAAACUCUUUCAAGUUGAUUUUACAGGCAAGAGAUUAUUGAGGGGGUAAAAAUGCAUGGAGCAAGAAAGGAAUGAAGAACUUUGAACCUUUCCUACAUCUUCCCCUACACAAUAGGAAUCCACUGCAUUCCUCUAGCUUUGGUCACUGCAAUUGCUGCAGCCCUUCCUAUUUCCUUUGCCGCUCUAUUUAUGACAACCUGUUUCCCCACAUUGGGAAGGAAGAAGUUCUUAUUACCAUGAAUAGUUAGGGUUGCGCUGAGCGAGAGAAGGAAGGGCUAACUCUGUCAUUGAUUGUAAAUGAAAAUGGCAGCUCAAGGCCGUCAUGGAUGUUCAAAUCUUUAGCUACUUACGCCCUUUCAGCUGAUAACGGUAAAUCUUCUUUGCCUAAAACCUUCUACGACGCAUUACAAACACUUUGUUCCUUGGAUAAGGUUUGUGUGGGUUUUGAUAGGCCUUGCUUGGAGGGAAUUGUAUGACAGUGACAUGCAUGUUAGCAGUGAAUACAUUCAAUUCGAGAAUUGGGCAGCUUAGAUUGUUCUUCUUUCCUAUUUAAAAUUUACAAGAUCAUGAUUUGUGGUGACAAAAAUUCACUGUUUCUUUGUAUUUUUAUUUAAGAAAUGAAUGUUUGAUUAAUUGAUGUGGUGCCACAGAACCUUAAGUUGAAUUUGCUACUUAAUUUGAGAUGAUGGGCAAAAUGAGGGCAUUGUUCACGUUGUAUUAUAACCAAAAAUGAACCGCCGAAGGAGAGGAUGGGUUGUAAAAAGGGAUGAGCGCAAAGUAAUCUCAUCAUGGAAAUUAUAUUAUAUACUUAUCAAUAUAGAAAGGGCGAGAUUUGGGGCACUUCAAAUUUUGUUUAUUCCAUAAUCACUGUGAUAGUUGACUUGAUAAUUCCACAUUUGCUUCUACCUCAACGACUCCAUAAAAGCAUCACCUUUU